rnacentral:rRNA from 1 species
UACGAAGGGGGCUAGCGUUGCUCGGAAUUACUGGGCGUAAAGCGCACGUAGGCGGUCUGUUGCGUCAGGAGUGAAAACUCGGGGCUUAACCCCGAGCCUGCUUCUGAUACGGGCAGACUAGAGGUAUGCAGGGGAGAACGGAAUUCCUGGUGUAGCGGUGAAAUGCGCAGAUAUCAGGAGGAACACCGGUGGCGAAGGCGGUUCUCUGGGCAUUACCUGACGCUGAGGAGCGAAAGUGUGGGGAGCGAACAGG